UCCAUGAAAUUCUGUAAUUCUG
rnacentral:miRNA from 1 species